GAAUUCGCCCUUAGAGUUUGAUCCUGGCUCAGGAUGAACGCUGGCGGCGUGCUUAACACAUGCAAGUCGAACGGACGAACCCCUUCGGGGGUGAGUUAGUGGCGAACGGGUGAGUAACGCGUGAGUAAUCUGCCUUGGACAGUGGAAUAACACAGGGAAACCUAUGCUAAUACCGCAUGAAGCGCUUGAGUGGCAUCACUCUGGGCGCCAAAGGAUUUAUCCGGUCUGAGAUGAACUCGCGUCCGAUUAGCUAGUUGGCGGGGUAGAGGCCCACCAAGGCGACGAUCGGUAGCCGGACUGAGAGGUUGACCGGCCACAUUGGGACUGAGACACGGCCCAGACUCCUACGGGAGGCAGCAGUGGGGAAUAUUAGGCAAUGGGGGAAACCCUGACCUAGCAACGCCGCGUGAAGGAUGAAGGUUUUCGGAUUGUAAACUUCUUUGGCCCGGGACGAUAAUGACGGUACCGGGAGAACAAGCCACGGCUAACUACGUGCCAGCAGCCGCGGUAAUACGUAGGUGGCAAGCGUUAUCCGGAUUUACUGGGUGUAAAGGGCGAGUAGGCGGGACUUCAAGUCAGGUGUGAAAUCUGGGGGCUUAACCCCCAAACUGCAUUUGAAACUGAGGUUCUUGAGUGAUGGAGAGGCAGGCGGAAUUCCCGGUGUAGCGGUGAAAUGCAUAGAGAUCGGGAGGAACACCAGUGGCGAAGGCGGCCUGCUGGACAUUAACUGACGCUGAGGAGCGAAAGUGUGGGGAGCAAACAGGAUUAGAUACCCUGGUAGUCCACACUGUAAACGAUGGAUACUAGGUGUGGGGGGUGUGACCCCUUCCGUGCCGGAGUUAACGCAAUAAGUAUCCCACCUGGGGAGUGCGAUCGCAAGAUUGAAACUCAAAGGAAUUGACGGGGACCCGCACAAGCAGUGGAGUAUGUUGAUUAAUUUGACGCAACGCGAAGAACCUUACCAGGGUUUGACAUCUAGCGAAUCCUGUGGAAACACGGGAGUGCCCUUCGGGGAGCGCUAAGACAGGUGGUGCAUGGUUGUCGUCAGCUCGUGUCGUGAGAUGUUGGGUUAAGUCCCGCAACGAGCGCAACCCCUAUUGUUAGUUGCUACGCAAGAGCACUCUAGCGAGACUGCCGUUGACAAAACGGAGGAAGGUGGGGGGGACGUCAAAUCAUCAUGCCCUUUAUAUCUUGGGCUUCAAACGUACUACAAUGGUGGCCAUACAGCGCGAGGCAAAGUAGUGAUACGGAGCGAAUCGCCAAAAGCCAUCUCAGUUCGGAUUGCAGGCUGCAACUCGCCUGCAUGAAGUAGGAAUUGCUAGUAAUCGCGGAUCAGAAUGCCGCGGUGAAUACGUUCCCGGGUCUUGUACACACCGCCCGUCAAG
rnacentral:rRNA from 1 species